rnacentral:lncRNA from 1 species
UUUAAAGAAACAUUUUUUUGCUCUCUUAUGCCAAAUGUAAAUUAUAUUGCAUUUUAAGUCCCGGAAUUUUGAAAACAAUAAUUGUGGGGAAAAAUAAGAAAAACAGAAGAGCUGAAAGUGAUAGGCCUUGAUAUCCAAAAGAUAUUUGCCAUAUAAAGUUACAUUUACAUUUGGUUUCGUUGGGAAUUUAGUUAGAUUUCAA